rnacentral:rRNA from 1 species
GACGAACGCUGGCGGCGUGCUUAACACAUGCAAGUCGAACGGAGUGGCGAACGGGUGAGUAACGCGUAAUCAACCUGCCCUUCAGAGGGGGACAACAGUUGGAAACGACGGCUAAUCCCGCAUACUGAAGGAGGGGAUGGCGUCUGAUUAGCUCGUUGGGGGGGUAACGGCCCACCAAGGCGAUGAUACGUAGCCGGUCUGAGGGGAUGAACGGCCACAUUGGGACUGGGGCACGGCCCAGACCUCUACGGGAGGCAGCAGGUGGGAAUCUUCCGCAAUGGAGGAAAGUCUGACGGAGCAACGCCGCGUGAGUGAUGACGGCCUUCGGGUUGUAAAGCUCUGUUAAUCGGGACGCGGUACCGGAAUAGAAAGCCACGGCUAACUACGUGCCAGCAGCCGCGGUAAUUC